UACGGAGGAUGCAAGCGUUAUCCGGAUUCAUUGGGUUUAAAGGGUGCGUAGGCGGCCUUUUAAGUCAGUGGUGAAAUCCUGCCGCUUAACGGUAGAAUUGCCAUUGAUACUGAAAGGCUUGAGUCCAGUUGAGGUAAGCGGAAUGUGUAGUGUAGCGGUGAAAUGCUUAGAUAUUACACAGAACACCAAUUGCGAAGGCAGCUUACUAAACUGGCACUGACGCUGAUGCACGAAAGCGUGGGGAGCGAACAGGAUUAGAUACCCUGGUAGUCCACGCCGUAAACGAUGUUCACUCGCUGUUUGCGAUACACAGCAAGCGGCCAAGCGAAAGCAUUAAGUGAACCACCUGGGGAGUACGAUCGCAAGGUUGAA
rnacentral:rRNA from 1 species